rnacentral:rRNA from 1 species
GACGAACGCUGGCGGCGUGCUUAACACAUGCAAGUCGAGCGGAAAGGCCACUUCGGUGGUACUCGAGCGGCGAACGGGUGAGUCACACGUGAGUAAUCUGCCCUUCACUCUGGGAUAGCCACCGGAAACGGUGAUUAAUACCGGAUAUGACACGCGACCGCACGGUCUGUGUGGGGAAACUUUUUUGGGUGGGGGAUGUGCUCGCGGCCUAUCAGCUUGUUGGUGGGGUAAUGGCCUACCAAGGCUUCGACGGGUAGCCGGCCUGAGAGGGUGACCGGCCACACUGGGACUGAGACACGGCCCAGAUUCCUACGGGAGGCAGCAGUGGGGAAUAUUGGACAAUGGGCGGAAGCCUGAUCCAGCAACGCCGCGUGAGGGAUGACGGCCUUCGGGUUGUAAACCUCUUUCAGCACCGACGAAGCGCAAGUGACGGUAGGUGCAGAAGAAGGACCGGCCAACUACGUGCCAGCCGCCGCGGUAAAAC